rnacentral:lncRNA from 1 species
GAAUUGAGCUCCUAUGCUUUUAAAAGUACCAAGUCAUUGGUGCUUGUAAGUUUUUAGCCCUUGGAUUAAUAGAUGUGCGGUUAGGAUGAUGUGGGUCCCCUUUGGUUGAAUGGGUGGUUGAUUGAAUAGUAUAAUCUAACGGGUGAAAAUGAUAAAGACGUAGAUCUAACGGUAAAAAAUUCACAAGCACCAAGUGCUUGGUACUUUUACAAGCACCAUAGCCGGACUCUAUGUGUAUGUAUAUGUGUGUAUAUAUAUAUAUAUAUAUAUAUAUAGAGAGAGAGAGAGAGAGAGAGAGAGAGAGAGAGAGAGAGUAGGGCUAGAAUACUUGUAAAAGUAUCAUGGGAAUGAUACUUGUGUGUUUUUAGCCCUUGGAUGGAGAGAUUUGAGGUUGAGAUGAUGGUGGUAGGUGGUGGUAGGUGGAAUAGUGUUUAAUCCAAGGGCUAUUAAUAAUCAAAAAGUAGAUCCAAUGGCUUAAAAACCUAAUAGCACCGUGAUGGUGAUUCUUGUAAAAGUAUCAUAGCUCAACUCUCUCUAUAUAUGUACAUACAUAU